rnacentral:sRNA from 1 species
AUCAAAAGAAGAACGGCUAAGGCGCGCCGUCCUGGCGCAACGCCGUUCUGACACUCACAUCCUGUGAG